AUGGUGAUCAGCGAGAUUGGAAAUUUGGUGUUGUUUGAUCACAAGAAUGCAACAGUGUGGCAGUCAUUUGAUCAUCCUACUGACACAAUAGUCCCUGGACAGACACUUGUGGAAGUUUUCUAUCAUGGUGCUCCCAAAAGGGUAUAUGCUUAUGUUGAAUCCAGACCACCACAAGUCUACCUUGAAUAUACCCCUGCCGGUGAAAGUGAAGGAGAAGACUACAUAGAAAAUUAUUCAACAAAUGUUGCAUUCACAAAUGGAAACUUCACCCUUCGUCGGCUAUUUGAUGAAGAAGUAUAUAGUAGUUCUAUUUCGCUGACAACAGUUUACUCCCCACAAUACAUGAGAUUAGAUCUAGAUGGACAUCUAAGGCUGUAUGAUUGGUCUGGUUUUAGCUGGAAUGUGGUUUUUGAUGUACUGCAGGGAAUAAUGGAUACUUGUGAUUACCCAACUGCCUGCGGGGAGUAUGGCUUAUGCAACAAGGGGCAAUGUACUUGUCCAGUUGAUAUUAAUUCAAGUUCAAGCUACUUCAAAUUGGUGGAAGAACGAAAUCCAAAUCUUGGUUGUGUCCCAAUAACUCCAAUCUCUUGCCAAGAAAAAGACAAGCAUCGACUAUUGACCCUUCCCUCCAUUUCUUACUUUGAUAAGAACUAUACAGUUGUGAACACAACAAGCGUCGACGACUGUAAGAAAGCCUGCUUGAAUAAUUGCUCUUGCAUGGCAGUUAUGUUCAGAGAUAGCAAAUGUAUAUGGAUGACAAAGGUCUUCUCCUUGCAAUCAAUGCAGCCUGGUUCCGACUCCACUGCCUACCUCAAGGUGCAGAUUGAUGAAAACAAAAAAAAGUCGAUUUUAGGUGCUACACUUGGAUCUGUUAGUGCUGUUGUAUUGCUUGCCAUUAUUGUUUCUCUUUAUCUGAAGUGGAGGAAGAAAUACGGAGAUAAAGAUGCAUUUGAGUUUGAUCAGUUACUUGGAAUGCCGACGAGGUAUUCUUUGGAAAGGUUGAGCGAAUGCACUGAAGGCUUCAUUAACAAGCUCGGAGAAGGUGGGUUUGGGUCGGUUUUUGAAGGGAAGUUAGGUGAAGAGAGAGUUGCAGUUAAACGUUUGGAAGGUGCUAGACAAGGGAAGAAAGAGUUUUUGGCAGAGAUCGAGACUAUUGGCAGCAUUGAACACAUCAAUCUUGUCAAGCUGAUUGGGUUCUGUGCAGAGAAGACUGAGAGGCUUCUGGUAUAUGAAUAUAUGUCAAGAGGAUCGCUUGAUAGGUGGAUCUAUUACCGUCAUAACAAUGGCCCUCUUGAUUGGUGCACCCGUUCUAGGAUCAUAUUGGAUAUUGCCAAGGGCCUGUGUUAUCUUCAUGAGCAGUGCAAGCGGAAAAUUGCUCAUCUAGACAUCAAACCACAAAAUAUUCUCCUGGAUGAUUACUUCAACGCCAAAGUGGCUGAUUUUGGACUAUGUAAGUUAAUAAACAGGGACCAAAGCAAGGUAGUUACUGUGAUGAGAGGAACACCUGGAUAUCUGGCCCCUGAAUGGUUGACAUCGCGGAUCACUGAAAAAGUUGAUGUCUAUAGCUUUGGAGUUGUUGUCAUGGAAAUAGUAAGUGGAAGAAAAAAUAUUGACCAUUCUCGGCCCGAGGAGGAAGUUCAACUUAUAAAUGUACUGCGGGAAAAAGCUCAAAACGACCAAUUGGUUUAUCUCAUUGACAAGCAUAGUGAUGAUAUGGUUUCGCAUCAGGAAGAAGUGAUUCAAAUGAUGAAGCUCGCAAUAUGGUGCCUGCAAAAUGACAGCAUUCGAAGGCCUUCAAUGUCAAUAGUGGUUAAGGUAUUGGAAGGUUCUAUGAGUGUAGAAACUAUCGAUGCAAACUCGAUCAUGCUUGUUCAACAUAAUGCAUCAACAUAUUCAGUUCCACCACAAGCAUCUGUUUUAUCUGGCCCAAGGUGA
rnacentral:rRNA from 1 species